rnacentral:ncRNA from 1 species
GCGGUACCGGUUCACGCUCGCUCUGAGGGACCACGGUCCUGAGCCGCGAGCGACCCGGCGACU